CCUACGGGUGGCAGCAGUGAGGAAUAUUGGUCAAUGGGCGAGAGCCUGAACCAGCCAAGUCGCGUGAAGGAUGACGGCCCUACGGGUUGUAAACUUCUUUUGUCAGGGAGCAAUUGAGUCCACGUGUGGUCUUAGCGAGAGUACCUGAAGAAAAAGCAUCGGCUAACUCCGUGCCAGCAGCCGCGGUAAUACGGAGGAUGCGAGCGUUAUCCGGAUUUAUUGGGUUUAAAGGGUGCGUAGGUUGUUUUAUAAGUUAGCGGUGAAAUACCGAUGCUCAACAUCGGGGCUGCCGCUGAUACUGUAGGACUAGAGAUCGGAUGCAGCAGGCGGAAUGUGUAGUGUAGCGGUGAAAUGCAUAGAUAUUACACAGAACACCGAUUGCGAAGGCAGCUUGCUAGGCCGGAUCUGACACUGAUGCACGAAAGCGUGGGGAUCGAACAGGAUUAGAUACCCCUGUAGUC
rnacentral:rRNA from 1 species